GGCCGGUGGCAGCGGCAGAAGAACUCAUCCGAGCUGCUGGAGUCACUGUCAAGGUUGUAGCACCCAGAAGACAAGGAAGGAUGGCCGGAGGACACUAGGGUUCGAGAUUGAUGCUGCCUGGGCAGAGCUGGCGAAGAGGAAAGUUGGAAGAAUUGGGUAAAGAAUGGUGGAAAUUCCUGGGACAACCAUUCAUACCGGAGCUAAGAAGAGCCAAUGAGAAUCUCAAUUUGGUUUCAACACUCCCUUGGAAGUGGCAAGGCCUCCUGGUGUGACAGGCCUAAGCAACGAGCUGGCUAUUAAAGAAUAACUCUUAAA